rnacentral:rRNA from 1 species
AGCAGUCGCCACGGGAAUACGUAGGGUGCAAGCGUUAAUCGGAAUUAUUGGGCGUAAAGCGUGCGCAGGCGGUUGGUUAAGACAGAUGUGAAAUCCCCGGGCUCAACCUGGGAACUGCAUUUGUGACUGGCCAGCUAGAGUAUGGCAGAGGGGGGUGGAAUUCCACGUGUAGCAGUGAAAUGCGUAGAGAUGUGGAGGAAUACCGAUGGCGAAGGCAGCCCCCUGGGCCAAUACUGACGCUCAUGCACGAAAGCGUGGGGAGCAAACAGGAUUAGAUACCCCCGUAGUCCCUGUCUCUUAUAC